rnacentral:sRNA from 1 species
GGCGCAUAAGCCGUUGACAAAUGAGGAAUACAGUGAUGCGAAUAAAAUGAGCAGCGCGAAUUCCGAAUUUUCGUCAGGAAUUGUGGGAGCGCGAAGCGCGGAACAAUUCCGUGGGCU